rnacentral:rRNA from 1 species
GAUGAACGCUGGCGGUGUGCCUAAUACAUGCAAGUCGAGCGAACAGACGAGGAGCUUACUCCUCUGACGUUAGCGGGGGACGGGUGAGUAACACGUGGAUAACCUACCUAUAAGACUGGGAUAACUUCGGGAAACCGGAGCUAAUACCGGAUAACAUGUUGAACCGCAUGGUUCAACAGUGAAAGACGGUCUUGCUGUCACUUAUAGAUGGAUCCGCGUCGCAUUAGCUAGUUGGUAAGGUAACGGCUUACCAAGGCAACGAUGCGUAGCCGACCUGAGAGGGUGAUCGGCCACACUGGAACUGAGACACGGUCCAGACUCCUACGGGAGGCAGCAGUAGGGAAUCUUCCGCAAUGGGCGAAAGCCUGACGGAGCAACGCCGCGUGAGUGAAGAAGGUCUUCGGAUCGUAAAACUCUGUUAUUAGGGAAGAACAAAUGUGUAAGUAACUAUGCACGUCUUGACGGUACCUAAUCAGAAAGCCACGGCUAACUACGUG